rnacentral:lncRNA from 1 species
CUAACCUUUCCCCUCCAAAUAUUUGUGGGUCUCCUCAACCAUACUAAUCUAGUCAAGCAUCAGUCAGUAUCAACCAUAAAUAAAAUCCAAAAGAUGUAGAAAAGAUUAGCUUAGACAUUAAACCAUUUGAGUCCCUGAAACAGAAAAGAAAAAGAAGAGAGCUCUCUUUCUCAUGAUUUGAUGGAAGAGAAAGAGAACGGUCGAUGGCGGUGACUGCGGCAGCUUAGCCAUGAGUAACGAAGAGGAAUAUCUAAUUAUUAUUAAAUCAACUUCUGAAUAUAGUAGAGAGUUUGCCUACUUUUGGUCUGAAAGAUCACAUUUUUUGUAAUAAAAAUUGGUGCCUAAGAACUUGGGGACAAGUGAAUUUUUUU